UAAUAUUCUGCCCAGAUAUUAAUAACGCAAAGUUCUCGAAAAAAAUGUUGUUGAAGCAAAGCUUUAUUUAAUAAGACGAAGAAACAUAAUCUAACUUGUUAUAGAUAUUACAGCUUCAACUGGCCGAUGAUAUUUUCCUCCUCAAGCGUCAUAUUCCAAGUAUGAUUGUUUGGAAAUUCAAUUGGCUCAAAGUCCACUUGGUCAUAUAUUUCCGGUCCGUUCACUUCUGGUUGGAUCGCAAGGGGGACGUUACUACCAUUUUCGGGCUUCAUCCAAGCGAUUCCAUCCGCGCCAAGUUUUAUGCAAUCGAAAUGCACAAUCAGAAGCGGCCAAGUUGAUAACACACGUAUCUCGAAAUCAACGCAUGCAUGCAGAUUAUUGCCGUCCACGGAGAUAUCGAAGAUACGCACGCAGAAAUUGGCGAAUGGAGGAUAUGGCACGCAAAACACUGGUGGAUUCCUAACUGUAAAUUAAUUUUUACAUCAUGCAAUUAAUGUACGCAUAAACGUAAAUUACAACAGAUUCAAUUUAAUUAAAAGUUGAAAGCCCAUUAACAAUAAAUUUUGCGAAAAGUUUACAUAAUUGAUUUAUAGGAAUUAAUUUUUUAAUUUUAUCGAAAAGCGGAAAUGGCCGAAGAGUAUCUAAUAUUAUUUUUACCAGGAGAAUACAGAUAAUUAUCUUAAAUAGAAAAAUAUAUUAUGCAAAAAUUAUUGAAUGCUACUCACAAGAUAUAGGACCUGCAGCAAGAAUUUCUCUCUCGUUUAUUACAAGAUUUAACUUGAAGGCGAGGUCUUGAGGGCGCAUUCUACACCACGGAAACCAAUCCCAAGAAAAGGAUUACGACCGAUCUUCUCCAGUGCACCGGUCAAUGUCAAUCCCGUGUUCGGAUUGUAGAAUGUCAACGGAAUGUUGAGUUUGGUUACAUCUGAAAGAAAU